rnacentral:lncRNA from 1 species
GAUAGGAGUAGCCCGAGCUGCCACCAGAGGCCAUGAUGUUCUAGCCCACGUUGAUGUCCUGGCCCAUGCUGCCACAUAGGGACCGUUCUGGGUCCGUGGCCCUGCUGCAGCAAGAGUCUGUGUUGAUGAUAUAUGUCUGUGGCCCAUGUUACCACCAAAGACCAUGUGGAUGCUCCUGGUCUGAGAUACCGCUUGGGACCGUGUUGAUGUCUGAAGGCUGAGCUGAACUGCAAGUUUACCUUCCACCUCGGCAGCAUGGGAAAGCUGGUCCUGAUGAUCAAGAUGUAGAACUCUCAGCUCCUUCUCCAGCACCAUGUCUGCCUGUGCACUGCAAUAUUUCCCUCCAUGAUGAUAAUGGACUAUAACUCUGAAACUGUAAGCCAGCCCCACGUUGAAAUACCUUGUUUAAAAAAUACCCAAGAGACCACAGUCUUCAUAGCAUCAAUAUUCAUCAUAGCUAAAACAUGAAAAUAAUCUAGGGGGCUGGAGAGAUGACUCAGCAGUUAAGAGCACUGACUGCUCUUCCAGAGAUCCUGAGUUCAAUACCCAUCAACCACAUGGUGUCUCACAACCAUCUGUAAUGAGAUGUGAUGCCCUCUUCUGGUGUGUCUGAAGACAGCUACAGUGUACUCAUCAUAUAUAUAUAAAACAAAUAAAUAAAAUCUUUUUUAAAAAAGUAA